rnacentral:rRNA from 1 species
UACGAAGGGGGGCUAGCGUUGUUCGGAAUUACUGGGCGUAAAGCGCACGUAGGCGGAUAUUUAAGUCAGGGGGUGAAAUCCCAGAGCUCAACUCUGGAACUGCCUUUGAUACUGGGGUAUCUGGAGUAUGGAAGAGGUGAGUGGAAUUCCGAGUGUAGAGGUGAAAUUUCGUAGAUAUUCGGAGGAACACCAGUGGCGAAGGCGGCUCACUGGCCCGAUACUGACGCUGAGGCG